rnacentral:rRNA from 1 species
AUUGAACGCUGGCGGCAUGCCUUACACAUGCCAGUCGAACGGCAGCACGGGUGCUUGCACCUGGUGGCGAGUGGCGAACGGGUGAGUAAUACAUCGGAACAUGUCCUGUAGUGGGGGAUAGCCCGGCGAAAGCCGGAUUAAUACCGCAUACGAUCUACGGAUGAAAGCGGGGGACCUUCGGGCCUCGCGCUAUAGGGUUGGCCGAUGGCUGAUUAGCUAGUUGGUGGGGUAAAGGCCUACCAAGGCGACGAUCAGUAGCUGGUCUGAGAGGACGACCAGCCACACUGGGACUGAGACACGGCCCAGACUCCUACGGGAGGCAGCAGUGGGGAAUUUUGGACAAUGGGCGAAAGCCUGAUCCAGCAAUGCCGCGUGUGUGAAGAAGGCCUUCGGGUUGUAAAGCACUUUUGUCCGGAAAGAAAUCCCUGGCCCUAAUACGGUCGGGGGAUGACGGUACCGGAAGAAUAAGCACCGGCUAACUACGUG